rnacentral:tRNA from 1 species
UGUACUGAAGCUUAGUUGGUUAGAGCGCCGGACUAGCGAUAUGGAGUUGUGGGUUCGUCUCCCAUCAUAAUAA